rnacentral:rRNA from 1 species
GAUGAACGCUGGCGGCGUGCCUAAUACAUGCAAGUCGAGCGAACGGACGAGAAGUUUGCUUCUCCGAUGUUAGCGGCGGACGGGUGAGUAACACGUGGAUAACCUACCUAUAAGACUGGGAUAACUUCGGGAAACCGUAGCUAAUACCGGAUAAUAUUUUGAACCGCAUGGUUCAAAAGUGAAAGACGGUCUUGCUGUCACUUAUAGAUGGAUCCGCGCUGCAUUAGCUAGUUGGUAAGGUAACGGCUUACCAAGGCAGCGAUGCAUAGCCGACCUGAGAGGGUGAUCGGCCACACUGGAACUGAGACACGGUCCAGACUCCUACGGGAGGCAGCAGUAGGGAAUCUUCCGCAAUGGGCGAGAGCCUGACGGAGCAACGCCGCGUGAGUGAUGAAGGUCUUCGGAUCGUAAAACUCUGUUAUUAGGGAAGAACAUAUGUGUAAGUAACUGUGCACAUCUUGACGGUACCUAAUCAGAAAGCCACGGCUAACUACGUG